rnacentral:rRNA from 1 species
GUGCCAGCCGCCGCGGUAAUACGGAGGGGGCUAGCGUUGUUCGGAAUUACUGGGCGUAAAGCGCACGUAGGCGGAUAUUUAAGUCAGAGGUGAAAUCCCGGGGCUCAACCCCGGAACUGCCUUUGAUACUGGAUGUCUUGAGGUCGAGAGAGGUGAGUGGAAUUCCGAGUGUAGAGGUGAAAUUCGUAGAUAUUCGGAGGAACACCAGUGGCGAAGGCGGCUCACUGGCUCGAUACUGACGCUGAGGUGCGAAAGCGUGGGAGC